rnacentral:lncRNA from 1 species
GUAAAACUUCACUGCCUCUUUGAUUACAUUGAUGAUUUCUUAUGUGAUUCAUCCAACUUCAAUUUGAUGAAGUCAACACUUGUCUAGAAUUUCAGAUCGAGUAGUUUGAUCAACUUAAAUAGCGUGAAUAUGUUCUCGAUGUUUGAUCCAAUUGGUCUAACUAGCCGAUCCGAUCUAGGUUUGAUAACAAUAGAUGAAUGUGAAGAUGACGAUGAAGAUGAUCUUGUGAAAAUAAUAAUCACUCUCAAAAAUCAAAUCGACGAAAUACCAAAGGUAUAUCAUCAAUACCAAAUUCUCAAGUUGAUUUAUAUUCAUUUUUUGUUAUCAUAUAUACCAAUAAACACAUCAUCAUUUUUCCUUAUUAUGGAUCAUAUAUGUUAGACCAAUGAAUUUUACUCUAAUUGAUAUAUGAACAUAUAUUUCUUAGAUCUAUAUUAUUAUUUUUAUUUAUUUUAAAAAUUCAAUUUUUUUCGUCUCUCAACACAUAUCUUCAUUUUGUAUAGAUCUAAUUAGCUAGUGAUCAUCUUCUCUACUCAAUACCCUUCUCCACUAUCUCUCUCAUUACUAUUAAUCUAGCCUCAUCUUUCUUUUAUCUUCUCACUGAGAGAAUUGUACUUUUCACCCUUUCAAUUCUGAUUUUUUUAAGCUUAUUCCUUUUAUCAUAUUAAUUUCAGGGAAGCUUCUAGUGGAUAUCUAACAUUAGCUUCUUUUUUUGUUUGUUUGUGCAGAAUAUAACACAUGUGAAGAAGGCUCUGAUUGUAUAUAAGAAUGUGGUGAGUCUUGAACACUUUUACUCAAUUUUUUGUUGUUUGUAUUGUCUUGGUGGAACCAUGUUCAUGUAUUGAUUUAAGUAGAAUUAGUGCAUCUAUAUUGAGUAUACAAUUGAGUAUGCGCUUCUUGUACUUAAAUAAAUGAAUUAAGACAUGAACAUGGUCCCUAAUAGAUAUAAUUUUGGCAUGUUUCUGAUAUUUUUUAAUAUAAUAUAAAUAUAUAAAAGUUAAACAUAAUAAACGAAUAUAAUAUGUAUACAAUUUGAACAUAAAAAUGUUAUAAUCUUGACAUUCAUUUAAGGAUUAAUUUUUUUUUUAUUUUUUUAAUGAAGGUGAAAACAUUCAAUUUAAUUUUUAGGGGCUAAAAUCAAAAUUCGCUAUAUUUAUAAGAACGUAAAACUUAUUUAACCAUCCUAACUUUCGUUACUUUAUUUAGUAGUAACAAAUUUCAUUUUUACACCAUUAAAUAACUUUGAUGGCUAGUUAUAUUUUUUUUUAUUAAAAUUUGUUUUCUAAUCAACGAAACUUGUUGCAGUUUAUCACAAGAAUCAGAGAAAAAUUAAGGAAGAGCAAUUUCUGAGAGAGUCUUGUGUUGGCAAUGGAAGCACUUCACGUCGCAGAAGACGAAGUUCUCCUUAUGAAUUAUGAAAAGCUCGUGAGAGAGGGAGUUCAUCAAAAUCAACACCCGAUUCUUGAACCUGGUAUACAUUGGGUGACUUUAAUUCGAUGAUAAACUUUCUCUGUUGCUUUGUGUUUUAAUUAAGCUAGCAUUUGGUUGUAGCUCAUGUUUAUAUUGUUGUAAAUUCUUCUUCCACUUCUUGUACUUGUUAAGUUUUAAUAGUAUUUUUGCUCAAACAAAGUUGUAAUAGUAUUAAUCUCCUCU